GAUGAAUGCUAGCGGCAGGCCUAAUACAUGCAAGUCGGACGGGAUCGGGGAGCUUGCUCCCCGUGAGAGUGGCGCACGGGUGCGUAACACGUAUGUAACCUACCUUUAUCAGGGGGAUAGCCUCUCGAAAGAGAGAUUAACACCGCAUAACAUCACAUGAUAGCAUUAUCGCGUGAUCAAAUAUUCAUAGGAUAAAGAUGGGCAGGCGGGACAUUAGCUAGUUGGCGGGGUAACGGCCCACCAAGGCGACGAUGUCUAGGGGAUCUGAGAGGAGUACCCCCCACACUGGUACUGAGAAACGGACCAGACUCCUACGGGAGGCAGCAGUAAGGAAUAUUGGUCAAUGGACGCAAGUCUGAACCAGCCAUGCCGCGUGCAGGAGGACGGCCCUACGGGUUGUAAACUGCUUUUGUACCGGAAUAAACCCUUUUACGUGUAAGAGGCUGAAUGUACGGUAAGAAUAAGGAUCGGCUAACUCCGUGCCAGCCGCCGCCGUAAAAC
rnacentral:rRNA from 1 species